UCUUGACUUUCUCUCUCAUUUUCUUAUUAUUAUUAUUUUUUUCCUCUCUCUUUCUCUCUCUGAGCUAACGAUAAAAACCAGAACUCGUUGUUUCUUGUUUUGUUGUUUUCUCUGAUCACCAAGGCUUUUCUUUUUAUUCACAUUCACACCUCUCAUACACAAUUAACAGAAUUAAUUUGCGAUGGAUUAUGCAUUUACUGAGUGAAGAAUAGAGAUUGACGAGUGAUAAGAAAAUGGCCUUUGAGCCGUUGGUUUGGUAUUGCCGGCCAGUG
rnacentral:misc_RNA from 1 species